rnacentral:rRNA from 1 species
AGGCAUGGGGGCGGCUACACAUGCAGUCGGGCGGUAACAGGGAGAAGCUUGCUUCUCUGCUGACGAGCGGCGGACGGGUGAGUAAUGUAUGGGGAUCUGCCUGAUGGAGGGGGAUAACUACUGGAAACGGUAGCUAAUACCGCAUAAUGUCUUCGGACCAAAGCGGGGGACCUUCGGGCCUCGCGCCAUCAGAUGAACCCAUAUGGGAUUAGCUUGUAGGUGCAUGUAUACUGCGGUUCACCCUUUGCGACGCAGAGAGUCUCUAGGUGGUCUGAGGGGAUGAUCAGCCACAAUCUGCGGACUGGAGACUCGGCCCAGAACUCCUAUGCGUGGAGGCAGCAGUGGGGAAUAUUGGCACAAAUUGGCGCCAAGCCUGUAUGCAGCCAUUGCGGGGUGUAUGAAGAAGGGCCUUUCGGUUUGUUACAGUACUUUCCAGUCGGGAGGGAAAGGUUGGUGAGCUUAUUACGCUUCAUCCAAUUGAUGUUAACGGACAGGAGAAGCACCUGGCUAAUUUCGUUCCAGCAGGCGCGGUAAUACGGAGGGUGCAAGCGUUAAUCGGGAAUUACCUGGGCGUACAGCGCACGCAGGCGGUUGAUUGAGUCAGAUGUGAAAUCCCCGGGCUUAACCCGGGAAAUUGCAUCUGAUAACUGGUCAGCUAGAGUCUUGUAGAGGGGGGGUAGAAUUCCAUGUGUAGCGGUGAAAUGCGUAGAGAUGUGGAGGAAUACCGGUGGUGAAGGCGGCCCCCUGGACAAAGACUGACGCUCAGGUGCGAAAGCGUGGGGAGCAAACAGGAUUAGAUACCCUGGUAGUCCCACCGCUGUAAACGAUGUCGACUUGGAGGUUGUGCCCUUGAGGCGUGGCUUCCGGAGCUAACGCGUUAAGUCGACCGCCUGGGGAGUACGGCCGCAAGGUUAAAACUCAAAUGAAUUGACGGGGGCCCGCACAAGCGGUGGAGCAUGUGGUUUAAUUUCUAUGCAACGCGAAGAACCUUACCUACUCUUGACAUCCAGAGAACUUGGCAGAGAUGCUUUGGUGCCUUUCGGGAACUCUGAGACAGGUGCUGCAUGGCUGUCGUCAGCUCGUGUUCGUGAAAUGUUGGGGUUAAGUCCCGCAACGAGCGCAACUCUUAUCCUAUUGUUGUCAGCGCGUGAUGGGCGGGAACUCCAGAGGAGAACUUGCUGGUCGAUAAAUCGGCAGGUAAAGGAUGAGGGAUGAGAGGUCCAGGUCUAUCAUGGCCCUUUCGGAUUAGGGCUUACACACAGUGCGAUACAAUCGGGCGUUGUCCAACGGGAAGCGGCAACCCUGCGAAUGCAAGCGGAACUCAUAAAGUGCGUCGUAGUCCGGAUUGGAGUCUGCAACUCGACUCCAUGAAGUCGGAAUCGCUAGUAAUCGUAGAUCAGAAUGCUACGGUGAAUACGUUCCCGGGCCUUGUACACACCGCCCGUCACACCAUGGGAGUGGGUUGCAAAAGAAGUAGGUAGCUUAACCUUCGGGAGGGCCGCUUACCACUUGUAUUCAUUGUUC